UUUCCGUAGGUGAACCUGCGGAAGGAUCAUUCAUAAUAAAGUGUUUUAUGGCACUUUUUAAAAUCCAUAUCCACCUUGUGUGCAAUGUUAGAUCUCGUCAAUCCUGGCGAGAUUUUUAUACAUCAACUCAUUUUUUAACUAAUUUGUCUGAAAAAUAUUAUGAAUACUUAAUUCAAAAUACAACUUUCAACAACGGAUCUCUUGGCUCUC
rnacentral:misc_RNA from 1 species